CGCGAAUUAGGCACUAUGGGG
rnacentral:piRNA from 1 species